rnacentral:lncRNA from 1 species
GUUCUCUGUCAGGAAGCAGAGGUGGGUAGAUUAAAACUUUUCUAACUUUUCCAUAAUGGUUUUCAGGGCUGUAGGACCGGAGCUGGCCGUUGUGUAAGCAAGCAGAAGCGAGUUUUCAUUAGCAACUCAUUUUGCACGGUACAGCCGUCACAGGGUCAUUGCACAAAUAAAAGCCAAGCAAGGCAGACGAGUUACAGGACUGCCUAUGUAGACAAAAGAAUUCGCUGAAGGCCACGGAACCUGAGGCCGGGCAGCGUCUUGUGACUCCCAGUCUGGUGCUUUGACUGCUGACUGCUCCCGCUUUACAUGCUG